UCGAGAAUCUUGGGCAAUGCGCGAAAGCGUGACCCAGCAAUGCCGCGUGCAUGAUGAAGGCCUUCGGGUUGUAAAAUGCUGUCUCCCGGGACGAAUAAAAUGACGGUACCGGGGAAGGAAGCCACGGCUAACUACGUGCCAGCAGCCGCGGUAAUACGUAGGUGGCGAGCGUUGUUCGGAAUUAUUGGGCGUAAAGGGUCUGUAGGAGGUUAAUUAAGUUUGGAGUGAAAUCCCAGAGCUCAACUCUGGAAUUGCUUUGGAAACUGAUAAACUAGAGUGUUGGAGGGGUAAGCGGAAUACCAAGUGUAGCGGUGGAAUGCGUAGAUAUUUGGUAGAACACCAAUAGCGAAGGCAGCUUACUGGACAACAACUGACUCUGAGAGACGAAAGCGUGGGGAGCAAACA
rnacentral:rRNA from 1 species